rnacentral:misc_RNA from 1 species
UUUCCGUAGGUGAACCUGCGGAAGGAUCAUUCAUAAUAAAGUGUUGUAUGGCACUUUUUAAAAAUCCAUAUCCACCUUGUGUGCAAUGUUAGAUCUCGUCAAUCUUGGCGAGAUUUUUAUACAUCAACUCAUUCUUUAACUAAUUUGUCUGAAAAAUAUUAUGAAUACUUAAUUCAAAAUACAACUUUCAACAACGGAUCUCUUGGCUCUC